CUGCGUUACCACAUUUGGUAUGCUAACCACAUUUAACUUUUAGGGUGUCAUCAAAACCUGAUUCAAUAUAAAGGCUACUUGUGGACACAGUUUGUGACACAGAAGACCUGGGAGUCCCUUCUUUUGGUUGCGGCUAUGUUUUUGUCAGCUUGAGAUCAUUUGAAACAUUUCUUGAGUGCAUCUUGUUUUUACACCUACUCUAACAACAAGAACCGGGCCUUUUAAAAAAGUUUUGACAAAGAGGAGGUCAGACAUCAGCCGCCACCAUGAGUACGGACGCAGAGAUGGCCACUUAUGGCAAAGCUGCCAUUUACCUUCGUAAGCCAGAAAGGGAGAGAAUUGAGGCUCAAAGUGCACCAUUUGAUGCCAAGAGUGCUUGCUACGUGGCCGAUGCCAAGGAGCUGUACUUGAAAG